GUGCUGAAAGCAUCUAAGCACGAAACUUGCCCCGAGAUGAGUUCUCCCUGAGACUUUAAGUCUCCUGAAGGAACGUUAAAGACGAUGACGUUGAUAGGCCGGGUGUGUAAGCGCAGCGAUGCGUUGAGCUAACCGGUACUAAUGAACCGUCCGGCCAGCGUGC
rnacentral:rRNA from 1 species